rnacentral:rRNA from 1 species
AUGUGUGGAUUUCAAGCUAAGGGGAAAGAAGUUUUCUAUAUCCAUGAUUCUAGUACACCUAACCAGAACACUGAUAGGGACAAAUUUAUUGUGAUCACUGUGAUUGAGGGGCAAGCUAGUGGCAAACAGUUAGAGGAAUUCUUUAAUGCUUACAUUAACACAAAUUGGAAAUGUUCGGCUAGAUCGAUUGGGCUUAAUACUUUUGUCAUGAGAUUUCCUUCACCCAGGGAUGUUGACAAGGCUUGUUUUGCUGAA